UUGUACAGAAAUAAGUGAGCAAAUUUUACUUCCAUUUAAAAUGAAUAUAAAAACUAAAGCUUAAACUAUGAAAACACUUUGAAGUUUAAUUUUUUCAUGUGUAGAAGUGAAAUUUGUACUGAGCAUUAUGAUGUAUUAGUAUUGCUAGGUGGCUGAUAUUUUUCCUAAGGAAAUAAAAAGAAAUCUUUCAAAUACACUGAAAACAGAUGUUAAUUUAGUUUUGUUUCUUUUUACUGGACCAACAAUAAUAAUAUUGUAGAUACAGUGAGAUAUAUAACCAUAUUAUGUUUAGGCAAAUGAAUUCAAGAACAUUGAUAUCCCUGAAAAAUAUGUAGCUACAAACAGUCUCUAGUGUAUAAACAGAUUGUGUUUCAAGUAUUCACUUGUAAUUCAGUAUUCCAGAACUUGUAUGCAAAUAUAAAUAUAAAUAUAUAUAUGUAUAUAUGAAAUGAAAUAAGGUUCUUAUAAAUAUAAGAAAUAAGAUUGCUGGCAAUGCUGGAUAUAGGACUUUAGUAAAAAUGAGUUUCACAGUUUUAAAAUGCAAGAAAAACAAACCAUAUUUAUUAAAUCAAAAUUGUUAUUAGAUUAAAUUAAAAUUUUAAGGUGACUUAUUUCUUACUUUUAUACAAAUAUAUUAAUUAAUGAAAGCAUGUACUUUUUUCUGUUUCUAUGGUUUGCUGAGAAAAAGGAGGGAGGGUUUACUGUGCUCACAGUUUAUGGAGGCUUCAGUUCGCAGUUGACCGGCUCCCAGGCAAGAUGACCCGGCAGAGGACCAAGAGCUCAUGGCAAGCAGUGAACUAGCAAAGCAGGAAGCGACCACACAACACUUUCUGUCCCUUAUAUUCUAUCCAGGGCCUUCCCAUUGUCCACACAUUGCCAAAGAAUCAGUGGCCCAGCUUAGCAAUCACACACCCUUGAUCCCAGCAUCACACACGUACUCUGUUCUAGGUCACACGUUCUAGAUGCAGGCAUCUCUGAAAAGCCCCACCUAUGACUGCAUGAGCUUCGUGGGGACACCUAGCAUAACCCAUAACACUGAGUUUGCUGAGUGACAAACUCUUUCUUCUUUAUUUAAUUCACAAGCACAGGCCAGACCCAAACAAUGUGUACACUUUUCUUGGUCCACUUUCUUUGUGGGUCUGGUCCAGAUGAGCUAUACUACAAGACCGCUGGGUACUUGAAGGCCCCACGUCAAGAAGCAUUUAUCUUUAUAGCCCUCCUUUCCGUAAAACAUCUUUCUGUUGUUAGCAGGGGUGCCAAACAACGGCUCCUGAAUAUGUUUUAAAGGAAGAGGACUUCCUUUUUUGGAAACUAUAUCUGUUACAAAAGAUUUUGUUAAGUUGGAAACAUAUUGUGUCAAAAAGCAGAACUGUGAGAGAACAUUCAACAGUGAAAAUGAUUCACUACUCUGAGCGCGCAUAGUGGAAAGCGUUCAGCAGCCUGACAUUAACCUGUUGUUGACUUCUCGGUUUUAGUAUUUGGAGGUUGACCUGGACUGAGCUGUGUGAAGCUGCCUGCUCCACAGGAAACCGCGUCCCUUGCCGCUGCCUGCUGCUUUCUCUUUAGCCAACACCCAAAGCCACUGCCAAUGUCAGGGAGAUGAGACUUCACAAGGUCACAGCCUCACAGUGAGGACAACUACAGAGAUCAUUAAAAUGAGCAAGGAAAAGCAGCCAAGGUGUUAGACACAGAUUACAGAAUGUCCGGGAGAGAGUCCCCGGAGCACCCCUUGAGGCAGAAUGACAGAGUGCGGUUUCAGGACAGAGACCUGGAAGGAGUCCCUCGGCUGGAUGGCUCUCAGGAGGAGGGCAUGUGGAGGGAGGAGGGCCAGACAAGUCUAGCCAGAAAGCAACAACUACGUGGUGUGCUCAUUCCACGGUGCUGAUGAAUCAUGUGUGCGGUGGGAAGACUGGGCAGUGUUCGGAUUCCAAAGCAACUGCUAGGAUAAAUAAUACUGCAUCCCACCUCCUCCCCCAAAGAGCGUGUCUUCUUCCAGAGUCCAUGAGGAAAAACGUCUCCAUACAAGAUCAUCUGGAAAAUUGAUCCAACUGGGGAGACAAUGAGUAACUUAAAAGCCUGGAGUAUAGUGUCUGCUCUAGUCUACAGGAUCAAGUAAGAUUUCCUGCAGAAAAUGAUGGUUCCUGGGCAUGAAAUCUGGAGCAAAAGAAGAAUGAAUUGUGUUGGAGAGCAGAGCAGAAGGGUUCAAGAUUGUAUUAGCUAAGGCCUUUGUUAUAAACCAUAGAAGAUAAAUGAUUAAUCAGCAGGCUGCUGUGAUGUGAGGAGAUUUUUUUUCUCCACCAUGUCCCUCUGCCAUGCCUUUCUUGCCCUGGAGCCAGCUGACCAAGGACUAUGAAAGUGCACCCAGAUAAAUCUCUCCUCCUUUAAUUUGUGGGUUUUGAGUAUUUUGUACCAGUGACAAGAAAAGUGACUAAGAGAGGUCCUAAUCCAGUAUGACUGUUUUUCACCUCAGAAGUGGAAGAGACAUGGAGGAUACAUGUGUAUAGAGGCCAGCUGAGGACACAGCAAGAAGACAUCCAUCUGUCUGCAAAGGAGAGGCCUCAGGAGAGAUUAGAUGUGCAGCAACUUCAUCUUGAGUGUGUAGCCUCUAGUACUAUAAGAAAAUAAAUUUACAUUAUUUAUGCUGCUCA